GACAUUGAAUUGACUUUCUUUUUUAGGAAUGGUGAUGUGGAUUUCACUGGUGCUCUUGGCAUUAUGGACACAGUUCUGGUGCAAAGACGGAUGAAGACUGAGGGCCGAUGGAAGAACCUGGAUUAACCAUGGGUGAUAUUACUGGAAACCUAAAAAUGAAAUGUGUUCAAAUUGUCUGGACAGCUCUUCAUUGAAAACUACUGCUUGCAUGUUUUCAUUUGGAUUGCUUGCUUUUGGUUUGAUUACUCUGCUUACAUACCGGAAGGGGACAUCAGAUACCAUGAUGGAGCCCCACUGCAUGGUUACUGAGACCUGGACCAUUGUAAGAGCAGUCAGUGCUCCCAAUUGAUGGUGUCAGCAUGGCUCCUGUUAAAUGAAGGCCCAGACAAGCUUUUACAAAGGUCCUUCAUUCUGAAUUUCAAGAGCUCCUGUGGCAGAAAAUGGACAGGCAAUUUCCUGUUUCUUUGGCCUAUUUAAAAGGUGGCUGGAAGGAGGCUCAGGGAGAUGACUUCAGGUGUAACCUCUUCAUAAGAAGAAUUACCAAAAUAAAUAGAA